UCGCGAAGGAUACGAAGUUAUACAAAAUGAAAAUAGAAAAAUAUAACACACAAAUACAUAGAGAAAAAGGAGAAAAACAAGCAUGGAGAGAGACAGGAAAUGGAAAAAGAAGGAAAAAACGAAAUGAUAUGAAUUGUAAGGGUCGACGGAGUUUGAGAAUCGACAAGGAUACAAAAUCGUACAUGUUUAAAAUGAAAAUAGAAAAAUAGAACACACAAAUACAUAGAGAAAAGGAGAAAAACAAGCAUAGAGUGAGACAGGAAAUGGAAAAAACAAGAAAAAUAACACACAAAAUCAUGAGAAUUAUAAGAUCAAGGAAGUUUAAAAAAAGGAAAAUAUAUAUAUGUAAAAAAACUAAACUCGCUAUAAAAAGUGCAUAUAUAAAAAAAGGGAAAGGAAAGGAAAAAUUGCGCGGAGAAAUACUUACAAAAAAUAGUGCGUUGAAAUUCAGAAAAAAUAAAAUGUAAAUAAAUUAUAAUAGAUCGGAGCUGCAUAGAAAACGGGCAAGAGAGAGAGAGAGAGAGAGAGAGAGAGAGAGCACCAAAGGGUAUUCGACGACAGUGUGGUCAAAAACUACUACGACUAAGGUGUGUGAGUAUGUGUGUGUAUAUGUGCGUAUGUGUGUAUAUGUGUGUUAUCCCAAACAGCACAGCAAUACAUCAUACAGAGACCGUCAAAAACCUUACACACACACACAUAACAUACGGUAAGGAAACGAGAUAUUAUGCCUCACCCUGUAUCAUCGGAGGACACAGAGAAAUAAGGAAAGAAAGAAAGAAAAAUAUAGGCGACUGAAGUCCAAUAAUCGUGCGUUGUUUCUGUUGUGUUACGUCGCUUAUGGUGUUGAGAGUAGAGUCAGAACACACACACACACACACACACACACACACACACACACACACACACACACACGAGAAAGUAACGUGUUAUGAGGUAGAAAAUUAAGAAUGACUGAAAUAUUAAUGCCCAGAACUGGUACACACACACACACACACAUACGAGGAAGCAACGUCUCAUGAGGUAGAAAAUUAAAAAUGACUUGGAGAUAUUUAUGCCCAGAAUUGGUACACACACACACACACACACACACACACGCACAUCAAGACAACUAAUCAGCUACGAAAACCACACCAAAAAAUACUAAACAAACGCAGCAAGUCGAAAAAACGCUAAACUAUUUUAAAUGCCAUCGAAAAAACAACUCCACCACCAGCCGAGGGGAGCGCCAUACGCCCCCUCCCUAACCCCCCCCAUCAUCAUACGCCCCACACAUUACAGAGUGCCGGGGCUGUGUUGCCAUUGCACUCUGAACCCGACGUGACUCUAUACAAGGGUGCUAACUGUGACCUAUGGGGUUGUGUAUAUGUGUUUGUUUACGUUAGCGAGAGGUUGGGUUAGAAGCGGUUAUGAGCUGGGAAUGGACUGAUGUGAGAUAGAAGGUUUGAUAAAUGAGAAUGUAUAUAGUUAGUGAUGUGUUGAAAUAGAUGAGAUUGAAAUUGAUAAGCUGUUUGUUCAUUCAAGAAGUUCGUUGCUAGUAGAAAACCAUUUAAAGCUGCAAUAGUUCCGAGAGUUCACUAAAGAAAAUCACGGAGUUGUUCAUCCUAGAAAGCAUUGAAACAGACGAGAUUGAAAUUGAUAACCUGUUUGUCCAGUCAGGAAGUUCGCUGUGAGUUGAAUCCAUUUUUAAAAGCUGCAAUAGUUCCGAGAGUUCACUAAAGAAAAUCACUGACUUGUUCAUCCUAGAAAGCAUUGAAACAGAUGAGAUUGAAAUUGAUAACCUGUUUGUCCGUUCAAGAAGUUCGCUGUGAGCAGAAUCCAUUUAAAGUUGCAUUAGUUCCGAGAGUUCACUAAAGAAAAUCACCGAGUCGUUCAUCCUAGAAAGCAUUGAAACAGAUGAGAUUGAAAUUGAUAACCUGUUUGUCCAGUCAGGAAGUUCGCUGUGAGUUGAAUCCAUUUUUAAAAGCUGCAUUAGUUCCGAGAGUUCACUAAAGAAAAUCACUGAGUCGUCCAUCCUAGAAAGCACUUUGAAGGACAUGAAUGAGAUGAAAGUAUGAACGUAAGCUUGAAAAAUUGAGUUAUGUCAUUACGUAGGAGGAGAAGAGUUUACGGAGAGGAGAAUGUAAUAUAUGUUCCUUGAAUCCUGUAGAAUGAAUGUUGGAGGAAAGUGAGAGAGAGAAAAAGAGAGAGUAAGAGAGAGAGAGAGAGAGAGAGAAAAUGUGUGUGCGAGAGAAAAAAGUGUAAACAAAAUAAUUAGGAAUGAAAAGGAAUGGAAAAAAAAGAGAAAUUGAGGGAAGAUAAAGAAAGGGAAGAGAAACAACAUAGGCGGAACAAAGCAAAAUAGAAGAAAUAAUUAGGGAUGAAAAGGAAAAUGGAAAAACAAGAGAAAUUGGAGGAAAAUAAAAAUAAAAGAGAGAAAGAAAGAGACAGAGAAUGGGAGAGAAAAAGAGAUAAUUUUCCCGAGUGCAUAUUAACCAAACUCCCAGAGGUGUCACCCUAACCCCCUGACCCCUGCCCCCCCCACCAUCGACGAGUGUCCCAGGGUGCCUCAGUGCCGCCCCUUAGCCUGGCACUGCUCUCGGCAACCCCACGUGGUAAUAUAAGCGUCGGAAACAGCCUGUCGGAACUAUUGAUACCUCUAGUGACAGUCUGGUUAGGUGCCUACGUCUGGUUACGGCUGACUAGACCAGUGCUUUUCUCUAUAAUGGGUCUUCCUGUGAUAUAAUAUUUGCCUCUUAAAUCUAGCGGCACCUUGCAGUAGUAUUGGAGAGUAAACAAGUCUUUCUGCUUGCCCUUACUUUCCCUUCUCAUGGGGUUGGAUGGGCCGUGAGUUCUUCCCAGUCUUGACCAGUGAAUAGUCUCUCCUCUCUUAACCUGGUACUUAACCUGGACUAGUAAUAUAAAUACAUGACUAGAUAAACUUUUUACUCAAACUGGGAGAACCUUUCAACUAUGCAACUCAUGUUAGGCCCACUGGUGUCUGGUGGCACCUGGUGUAGUGUGGUCUGCAUGGUACUAGCUUGGGCAGUCAUUCAAACACACAGCUCUACCACCAAUGUGUUCAGAUAUAUAUACACAGACAUCCCUUAGAGAAGCAGGGAAGGGGUGGGGGGGGAGCGAGCAGGGAGGGGAGACAGGCGUGUUUGGGGGGCGCUUCAAAACACCUUCACUUAACUCUACACAAACCACCUCGUAAGUGCAGCCUUAAAUACGUAAGUCGUCUUUAUAAGUAGAUCAUAUGUGUCUGUGUGUCCGAAUGAGCGAUGAAUAAGUGUGUGCAGUGGUAGUAAUAGUAGUAGUAGUAGUGGUAGUAGUAUAUGGUCAAAAGUAUGUAUAUAUAUCACUCAUUAAUAUUGGUAGUGUUAAUAUAUACAGUCAUUUUAAUACAUGAGAAAAAUAUGCAUGAUAGGCUAUUCAUUUCCUUAUUCUUAUUAUUUUCUUUAUUUUCCUUCCAUUUAUUUAUCUCCCUUCUUUCCUUUUAACAUGCUUACUCUUUCUAUAUCCAUUUACAUUAUUAUUAUAUCCAACACAAUAAUCCUCCUCCUUCUCCUCCUCUUCAUCUGUUUAAUGUAAGUUUUUCUGAUAUUCUCUUCGGUUAGGUGGUCAAUAGUACCCUUCAAACCCUCUCUGUUCAUGCCACACCCUAUCCAAUGCCCUAUGCUGCCUCUUCAACACACUGCCUCUAUGAAUCCUCUAUAUCAUAAAGCAUAUUUCCCUUAGGUUAGGCAGUCAACAGUACCCUUCAAACCCUUUCUGUUCAUGCCACACCCUAUCGAAUGCCCUAUGCUGCCUCUUCAACACACUGCCUCCAUGAAUUCUCUAUAUCAUAAAGCAUAUUUCUCUUAGGUUAGGCAGACAAUGGUACCCUUCAAACCCUUUCUGUUCAUGCCAUACCCUAUCCAAUGCCCUAUGCUGCCUCUUCAACACACUGCCUCUAUGAAUUCUCUAUAUCGUAAAGCAUAUUUCUCUUAGGUUAGGCAGACAAUGGUACCCUUCAAACCCUUUCUGUUCAUGCCAUACCCUAUCGAAUGCCCUAUGCUGCCUCUUCAACACACUGCCUCUAUGAAUCCUCUAUAUCAUAAAGCAUAUUUC